AAGCGUAGGCGGCGUGGUAAGUCAGAUGUGAAAUCCCGGGGCUCAACCCCGGAACUGCAUCCGAUACUGCCGUGCUAGAGGAUUGGAGAGGUAGCUGGAAUUCACGGUGUAGCAGUGAAAUGCGUAGAUAUCGUGAGGAACACUCGUGGCGAAAGCGAGCUACUGGACAACUCCUGACGCUGAGGCUCGAAGGCCAGGGUAGCGAAAG
rnacentral:rRNA from 1 species